rnacentral:misc_RNA from 1 species
GAUGAAGAACGUAGCGAAAUGCGAUACUUGGUGUGAAUUGCAGAAUCCCGUGAACCAUCGAGUCUUUGAACGCAAGUUGCGCCUCAAGCCAUUAGGUUGAGGGCACGUCUGCCUGGGCGUCACAUAUCGUUGCCUGAUGCCAGUUUCCUCGUGAUGGGUGACUGUGCAGGGCGAAUGAUGGCUUCCCGUGAGCAUUGUUGCCUCAUGGUUGGUUGAAAAUUGAGUCCUUGGUAGGGAGCGCCGUGAUAGAUGGUGGUUGAGUGACGAACGAGACCCAAUCAUGUGAGACCCCUACCGAAUUUGGCCUUCAUGACCCACAUGCGUCUUUGGAACGCUCAUGACGAGACCUCAGGUCAGGCGGGGCUACCCGCUGAGUUUAAGCAUAUCAUACGGAGGA